UACGUAGGGGGCAAGCGUUGUCCGGAUUUAUUGGGCGUAAAGAGCUCGUAGGUGGUUCGGUAAGUCGGAUGUGAAAUCUCCAGGCUCAACCUGGAGGGGUCAUUCGAUACUGCCGUGACUAGAGGUCGGUAGGGGAGUGUGGAAUUCCUGGUGGAGCGGUGAAAUGCGCAGAUAUCAGGAGGAACACCGGUGGCGAAGGCGACACUCUGGGCCGGUACUGACGCUGAGGAGCGAAAGCGUGGGGAGCAAACAGG
rnacentral:rRNA from 1 species